CAGCCGCCGCGGUAAUACAGAGGGUGCGAGCGUUAAUCGGAUUUACUGGGCGUAAAGCGUGCGUAGGCGGCUUCUUAAGUCGGAUGUGAAAUCCCUGAGCUUAACUUAGGAAUUGCAUUCGAUACUGGGAAGCUAGAGUAUGGGAGAGGAUGGUAGAAUUCCAGGUGUAGCGGUGAAAUGCGUAGAGAUCUGGAGGAAUACCGAUGGCGAAUGCAGCCAUCUGGCCUAAUACUGACGCUGAGGUACGAAAGCAUGGGGAGCAAACAGGAUUAGAGACCCCCGUAGUCCCUGUCUCUUAUAC
rnacentral:rRNA from 1 species